CCUACGGGAGGCAGCAGUGGGGAAUUUUGGACAAUGGGCGAAAGCCUGAUCCAGCCAUUCCGCGUGCAGGAUGAAGGCCCUCGGGUUGUAAACUGCUUUUGUACAGAACGAAAAGGUUUCUACUAAUACUAGGAGCUCAUGACGGUACUGUAAGAAUAAGCACCGGCUAACUACGUGCCAGCAGCCGCGGUAAUACGUAGGGUGCAAGCGUUAAUCGGAAUUACUGGGCGUAAAGCGUGCGCAGGCGGUUAUAUAAGUCAGAUGUGAAAUCCCCGGGCUCAACCUGGGAACUGCAUUUGAGACUGUAUAGCUAGAGUACGGUAGAGGGGGAUGGAAUUCCGCGUGUAGCAGUGAAAUGCGUAGAUAUGCGGAGGAACACCGAUGGCGAAGGCAAUCCCCUGGACCUGUACUGACGCUCAUGCACGAAAGCGUGGGGAGCAAACAGGAUUAGAUACCCUGGUAGUCCACGCCCUAAACGAUGUCAACUGGUUGUUGGGUCUUAACUGACUCAGUAACGAAGCUAACGCGUGAAAGUUGACCGCCGNGGGAGGUACGGCCGCGAAGGUUAGUAAACGUAACGAAAGGAAAGUUAGUACGGCGUGAGACGUAGACCGAACGGACGACGACGAGGGAGGAGG
rnacentral:rRNA from 1 species